GCUCGGCAGUCAGACAGCGGGUGAUAAGGUCCGUUGUCAAGAGGGAAACAGCCCAGACCAUCAGCUAAGGUCCCAAAAUGUAUGCUAAGUGGAAAAGGAUGUGGAGAUGUACAGACAACUAGGAGGUUGGCUCAGAAGCAGCCAUCCUUUAAAGAGUGCGUAACAGCUCACUAGUCGAAUGACUCUGCGCCGAUAAUUUACCGGGGCUAAGCAUACUACCGAAGCUAUGGAUCCCAAGGGAUGGUAGGGGAGCGUUCCAUGAACGGAGAAGUACGACCGAAAGGACGUGUGGAGAUCAUGGAAGAGAGAAUGCCGGUGUGAGUAGCGGAACGUGGGUGAGAAUCCCACGCACCGAAAACCCAAGGUUUCCAGAGGAAGGUUCGUCCGCUCUGGGUAAGUCGGGACCUAAGGCGAGGCCGAAAGGCGUAGUCGAUGGACAACAGGUAGAGAUUCCUGUACCCGUAUAUAUGUGAAGGAAUGACGGAGAGAGGAAGCUGCAGCCAGCGGCUGGAAGAGCUGGUGCAAGCGAGAUAUCGGGAUGGCAGGCAAAUCCACCAUCCGAAACGAGAAGGCGUGAAGCGUACGGAAAGCUACGGCGAGUACGGAAGGCAGUGGAGGAACUUCCAAGAAAAGUUUCUAACGUUAAGUAUAUAUGGCCCGUACCGAAAAUGGACACACAUGGGUGAGGAGAGAAUCCUAAGGUGAGCGAGAGAACUAUAGCUAAGGAACUCUGCAAAAUGACUCCGUAACUUAGGGAGAAGGAGUGCUCAUAGAGAUAUGAGCCGCAGUGAAACGGCCCAAGCGACUGUUUACCAAAAACACAGCUCUCUGCUAAGCCGCAAGGCGAAGUAUAGGGGGUGACGCCUGCCCGGUGCUGGAAGGUUAAGGGGAGGGGUUAACGCAAGUGAAGCCCUGAACUGAAGCCCCAGUAAACGGCGGCCGUAACUAUAACGGUCCUAAGGUAGCGAAAUUCCUUGUCAGGUAAGUUCUGACCCGCACGAAAGGCGUAACGAUUUGGGCGCUGUCUCAGCUGUAGACUCGGUGAAGUCUUAGUACCUGUGAAGAUGCAGGUUACCCGCGACUAGACGGAAAGACCCCAUGGAGCUUCACUGCAGGUUGAUAUUGGGAUUUGAUGCAGCAUGUACAGGAUAGGUAGGAGGCAAAGAGAUGGAUACGCCAGUAUUCAAGGAGCCGCUGUUGGGAUACUACCCCUGUUGUAUUGGAUUUCUAACCGGACGACGUAGAGCCGUUGACGGGACAGUGUCAGUCGGGCAGUUUGACUGGGGCGGUCGCCUCCCAAAGAGUAACGGAGGCGCCCAAAGAUACCCUCAGCUUGGAUGGAAACCAAGCGCAGAGUGCAAAGGCAAAAGGGUGUUUGACUGCGAGACCUACAAGUCGAGCAGGGACGAAAGUCGGGCUUAGUGAUCCGGCGGUGCUGAAUGGAAAGGCCGUCGCUCAACGGAUAAAAGCUACCCUGGGGAUAACAGGCUGAUCUCCCCCAAGAGUUCACAUCGACGGGGAGGUUUGGCACCUCGAUGUCGGCUCAUCGCAUCCUGGAGCUGAAGUCGGUUCCAAGGGUUGGGCUGUUCGCCCAUUAAAGCGGUACGCGAGCUGGGUUCAGAACGU
rnacentral:rRNA from 1 species